GAUGAACGCUGGCGGCGUGCCUAAUACAUGCAAGUCGAGCGAACGGACGAGAAGCUUGCUUCUCUGAUGUUAGCGGCGGACGGGUGAGUAACACGUGGAUAACCUACCUAUAAGACUGGGAUAACUUCGGGAAACCGGAGCUAAUACCGGAUGAUAUUUUGAACCGCAUGGUUCAAAAGUGAAAGACGGUCUUGCUGUCACUUAUAGAUGGAUCCGCGCUUCAUUAGCUAGUUGGUAAGGUAACGGCUUACCAAGGCAACGAUGCAUAGCCGACCUGAGAGGGUGAUCGGCCACACUGGAACUGAGACACGGUCCAGACUCCUACGGGAGGCAGCAGUAGGGAAUCUUCCGCCAUGGGCGAAAGCCUGACGGAGCAACGCCGCGUGAGUGAUGAAGGUCUUCGGAUCGUAAAACUCUGUUAUUAGGAAAGAACAUAUGUGUAAGUAACUGUGCACAUCUUGACGGUACCUAAUCAGAAAGCCACGGCUAACUACGUG
rnacentral:rRNA from 1 species